rnacentral:rRNA from 1 species
CGGAGACGCUGGCGGCGUGCCUAACACAUGCAAGUCGAGCGAGUGAAUCUCCUUCGGGAGUGAAGCUAGCGGCGGACGGGUGAGUAACACGUGGGCAACCUGCCUCAUAGAGGGGAAUAGCCUUUCGAAAGGAAGAUUAAUACCGCAUAAGAUUGUAGCUUCGCAUGAAGUAGCAAUUAAAGGAGCAAUCCGCUAUGAGAUGGGCCCGCGGCGCAUUAGCUAGUUGGUGAGGUAACGGCUCACCAAGGCGACGAUGCGUAGCCGACCUGAGAGGGUGAUCGGCCACAUUGGGACUGAGACACGGCCCAGACUCCUACGGGAGGCAGCAGUGGGGAAUAUUGCACAAUGGGGGAAACCCUGAUGCAGCAACGCCGCGUGAGUGAUGACGGCCUUCGGGUUGUAAAGCUCUGUCUUCAGGGACGAUAAUGACGGUACCUGAGGAGGAAGCCACGGCUAACUACGUG